rnacentral:rRNA from 1 species
CUUGAACGCUGGCGGCAGGCCUAACACAUGCAAGUCGAGCGGAUGAAGGGAGCUUGCUCCUGGAUUCAGCGGCGGACGGGUGAGUAAUGCCUAGGAAUCUGCCUGGUAGUGGGGGAUAACGUCCGGAAACGGGCGCUAAUAUCGCAUACGUCCUGAGGGAGAAAGUGGGGGAUCUUCGGACCUCACGCUAUCAGAUGAGCCUAGGUCGGAUUAGCAAGUUGGUGGGGUAAAGGCCUACCAAGGCGACGAUCCGUAACUGGUCUGAGAGGAUGAUCAGUCACACUGGAACUGAGACACGGUCCAGACUCCUACGGGAGGCAGCAGUGGGGAAUAUUGGACAAUGGGCGAAAGCCUGAUCCAGCCAUGCCGCGUGUGUGAAGAAGGUCUUCGGAUUGUAAAGCACUUUAAGUUGGGAGGAAGGGCAGUAAGUUAAUACCUUGCUGUUUUGACGUUACCAACAAAAUAAGCACCGGCUAACUUCGUG